GCAAGGUUCAUGAGGAGUACACGCCGCUGCGCUUCCAUUCCAGACCCGUCGAGAGACCGCGAGGACUGUGUAGCGUGUUGCAGGAGAGAAGCCCAAGCUUUGGCGGAGCCAUGGCGGAGGAAACGGGGGCGACGGCGGCUUCAGGGCCGGCGGCGGGCGGAGAGGGCAAGAUGACGAUGGUGGUCGGGGUGGACGAGAGCGAGCACAGCUACUACGCGCUGCAGUGGACGCUCCUCCACUUCUUCUCCCCGGGCCAGCAGCAGCAGUACCGCCUCGUCGUCGUCACGGCCAAGCCCACCGCCGCGUCCGCCGUCGGCCUCGCCGGACCAGGUGCCGCGGACGUGCUGCCGUUCGUUGAGGCGGACCUGAAGCGAAGCUCGCUGCGCGUCAUCGACAAGGCCAAGGAGCUCUGCGCGCAGGUGAGUGAUGCUGUCUUUGAAGUGGUGGAGGGGGAUGCCAGGAACGUCCUCUGCGAGGCGGUAGAAAGGCAUCACGCAGAGAUGUUGGUUGUGGGCAACCAUGGCUAUGGAGCAAUCAAAAGGGCUGUUCUUGGAAGUGUGAGCGAUUACUGCACCCACCACGCGCACUGCACCGUGAUGGUUGUGAAGAAACCAAAGCACAAGCACUGAGCAAUGCCCAGCCUUGACUCUUCGCUGAACCCAGUGAUUGGUAUUUGAGCUUUCGUGUGCCCUGCCAGUUUGCGCAUCUUUGUGAAUAAAUGGAUUGUCGCAGUUCACAACUUCAGACUAGUGAACUCCUGCGAGUAGCCCAUAAUAAUCCUACAUGCUACAUGUGGAUUAUUGAUUGAGAAUGUGAAUAACUGAUGUGCCUCAUCAGAACAGUGUUAUUUGUGAUGCAGAUGCAUGAACGCUGUAUGUAUAUGUAAUCAAGACUGCAAGUUCCUUGCAGUGGACACGUGUGUUCAGUUCUUGUGGAACUGUAUGUAAUUUGUGAAUGUAUGCUUCUUCUGUUCAGAUUUUUCUCCUUGCAAAAAGGGGACUCAUAAAAAAGGAACAAAAUUUGAUAGCCACAGGACACGGAGGCAACCUGCGCGCUUCCCGCGCUCCGGGUCCUCCUCCCAGCCGCUAGCCCCAUUUCUCAGAGGUAAUAACUGGCUCGAGGGAACAUGGCGGCGGAGGGAGAGGCCCUGAUGGCAGCGGAAAGGGCAGAGACGUCGACUGCACCGGCGGUGGCGACGGAGUCAGGAGCCAACGGGAAAGCGGCGGCGAGCGGGAAGCCGGCGAUGGUGCUGGGGAUCGACGAGAGCGAGCACAGCUACUACGCGCUGGAGUGGACGAUCCACCAUUUCUUCGCCCCCGGCCAGCCGCAGCAGUACCACCUCAUCGUGGUCAGCGCCAAGCCCCCUGCCGCCUCCGUCAUCGGCAUCGCCGGCAUAGGCAUGGCGGAGCUUCUCCCGAGGGUGGAGCUCGACCUCAAGCGCGCCUCCGCCAGAGUCAUCGACAAGGCCAAGGAGCACUGCUCACAUGUGGCCGAUGUCAGCUAUGAAGUGAAAGAGGGCGACGCGAGGAAUGUGCUGUGCGAGGCAGUUGAGAGGCAUCAUGCAGACAUGCUGGUUAUGGGCAGCCAUGGCUACGGCGCUUUCAAGAGGGCCGUCCUUGGGAGCGUGAGCGAUUACUGCACUCACAACGCGCAUUGCACCGUGAUGAUAGUGAAGAAACCAAAGCACCAUAAGAAGCAUGAACAAUUGGGGUUCCAUAGAAAGGAGGCUUGAAAAAGUUUUUAAAGCCCUUAGGUUAGAGAUAGAUAUGGAAGGGGUUUAGGCAUGCGUGUUCAAGUAUUAACUGAUUGCCUUGUAGAUCAAUGUGUGGUCUCAUCGCGAACUGAGCUAAACUCAGAUGGUUAGGUUCCUUAUGUUGGAACCAACCCAAUAGGGUUCAACUCCUAGACUUGGCACUAGUGGUCACAUUUUUCUGGAUUUAUUUCAGGCCUUGCGACAAUGCGUAUUCAGUGAGAGUCAUUACGAAGGCGCAUGCGAUGACUUUUUCAAUUUCAAGAUGUUGUGCCGACUCAAUAUCUCGUAGGUGCUCAUAGUGAUAGAGUGUAUGUGGGUGUGCUAUCCUACAUUACAAAAAACAUUAGACAUGUAUAUCACAUAAUACUUGGAUUAUCUUUAGUUGCCA
rnacentral:rRNA from 1 species